rnacentral:rRNA from 1 species
CUUGCUUCUCUGCUGACGAGUGGCGGACGGGUGAGUAAUGUCUGGGAAGCUGCCUGCUUGAGGGGGAUAGCGGAGCGAAAGUUCCGAUAAUACCGCGUAAGCCCGAGAGGGGAAAGUGCGGGACCGCAAGGCCGCACGCGAGCAGAUGCGCCCAGAUGGGAUUAGGCAGUUGGGGAGGUAAUGGCUCACCAAACCGAUGAUCUCUAGCUGGUUUGAGAGGACAAUCAGCCACAUUGGAAUUGAGAAACGGACCAAACUCCUACGGGAGGCAGCAGUGGGGAAUAUUGCACAAUGGGGGAAACCCUGAUGCAGCCAUGCCGCGUGUGUGAAGAAGGCCUUCGGGUUGUAAAGCACUUUUGCAUUCGAGGAAGACAGCGUAUAAACAAAUGCGCUAUUUGACGUUAGAGUGUGAAUAAGCACCGGCAAACUCCGUGCCAGCAGCCGCGGUAAUACGGAGGGUGCGAGCGUUAAUCGGAAUGACUGGGCGUAAAGGGCACGCAGGUGGCGAGAUAGGUUGGAUGUGAAAUUCCCGUGCUUAACAUGGGGACUGCAUCCAAAACUGUUGAACUGGAGUACUGUAGAGGGAGGUAGAAUUCCACGUGUAGCGGUGAAAUGCGUAGAGAUGUGGAAGAAUACCAG